rnacentral:rRNA from 1 species
UACGUAGGGUGCGAGCGUUAAUCGGAAUUACUGGGCGUAAAGGGUGCGCAGGCGGCCGCGCAUGUCGAGUGUGAAAGCCCCGGGCUUAACUUGGGAAGUGCGCUCGAAGCUACGUGGCUGGAGUGUGGCAGAGGAAGGUGGAAUUCCACGUGUAGCGGUGAAAUGCGUAGAUAUCGAGAGGAACACCAGUGGCGAAGGCGAGUCCCUGGACAACUCCUGACACUGAGGCACGAAAGCUAGGGGAGCAAACAGG